GCAGUCGAACGAUGAAGCCCUUCGGGGUGGAUUAGUGGCGAACGGGUGAGUAACACGUGGGCAAUCUGCCCUUCACUCUGGGACAAGCCCUGGAAACGGGGUCUAAUACCGGAUAUGAGCCCGGGAGGCAUCUCCCGGGUUGUAAAGCUCCGGCGGUGAAGGAUGAGCCCGCGGCCUAUCAGCUUGUUGGUGAGGUAACGGCUCACCAAGGCGACGACGGGUAGCCGGCCUGAGAGGGCGACCGGCCACACUGGGACUGAGACACGGCCCAGACUCCUACGGGAGGCAGCAGUGGGGAAUAUUGCACAAUGGGCGCAAGCCUGAUGCAGCGACGCCGCGUGAGGGAUGACGGCCUUCGGGUUGUAAACCUCUUUCAGCAGGGAAGAAGCGCAAGUGACGGUACCUGCAGAAGAAGCGCCGGCUAACUACGUGCCAGCAGCCGCGGUAAUACGUAGGGCGCAAGCGUUGUCCGGAAUUAUUGGGCGUAAAGAGCUCGUAGGCGGCUUGUCACGUCGGGUGUGAAAGCCCGGGGCUUAACCCCGGGUCUGCAUUCGAUACGGGCUGGCUAGAGUGUGGUAGGGGAGAUCGGAAUUCCUGGUGUAGCGGUGAAAUGCGCAGAUAUCA
rnacentral:rRNA from 1 species